GGCUCUAGAAAUGUGCCCAUACAUUUCUAGAGGCAUUUGGGAUGGUCGGGCCGCCAUCU
rnacentral:ncRNA from 2 species